rnacentral:rRNA from 1 species
UACGUAGGAGACGAGCGUUGUCCGGAGUUACUGGGCGUAAAGGGUGCGCAGGCGGCCUGGCGCGUCGCGAGUGAAAUCUCCCGGCUCAACUGGGAGGGUGGUCGCGAGACGGCGAGGCUUGAGGCUCGGUGAGGGGCGUGGAAUUCCGGGUGGAGCGGUGAAAUGCGUAGAGAUCCGGAGGAACACCGACGGCGUAGGCAGCGCCCUAGACGAGACCUGACGCUCAGGCACGAAAGCAUGGGGAGCGAACGGG